rnacentral:rRNA from 1 species
ACGUAUGGGGCAAGCGUUGUUCGGAAUUAUUGGGUGUAAAGGGUGUCUAGGCGGGUCGGUCAGUCUGACGUGAAAUUCCCCGGCUUAACCGGGGCGGGUCGUUGGAUACUGCCGAUCUUGAGGCUGGAAGAGGAGGGCGGAAUUCCCAGUGUAGCGGUGGAAUGCGUAGAUAUUGGGAAGAACACCAGUGGCGAAGGCGGCUCUCUGGUCCAGCUCUGACGCUGAAGCACGAAAGCGUGGGUAGCAAACAG